rnacentral:rRNA from 1 species
AACGUAGGACACGAGCGUUAUCCGGAGUUACUGGGCGUAAAGGGCGGGUAGGCGGUGCGAUAAGAUUGGUGUGAAAGCCUUCGGCUUAACCGAGGGAGGACACUGAUGACUGUCGGACUAGAGGCAGAUAGAGGGGUGUAGAAUUCCGGGUGUAGUGGUGAAAUGCGUAGAGAUCCGGAGGAAUACCAGAGGCGAAGGCGGCACCCUGGGUCUGACCUGACGCUGAUCCGCGACAGCAUGGGGAGCGAACGGG